ensembl:lncRNA novel transcript, antisense to PELI1
UAGGAAGGAGCCUGAUGUGCUAGAAGCCCAGUGAGGGCGCCAGUGUGGCUAGAGCAGUUGAGAGAAGCAGACAAUAGCAGCAGAUGGGUCAGCUCCCUAGCCAAGGUGUGUGAAGCCGUGUAGUCCUGGGAAGGAUUGGGCUUUUACAUUGAGAUAGGAUGGGAAGUCAUUGGAGGGUUGUGAGCCAAGGACUUAUGUUUUGCAAGGGUCACUCUGGUUGCUGUGUUGAGAAUAGACCAUAGGCAAGCCUACCCAGGAAGCAGGGAAACGGGUUAGGAGGCUAUUGCCUCUGCGUGACAGGUGGUGGAGUGGACCAGGGUGUAGCUGUGGAGGUGGUGAGAAAAGGCUGAAUUCUGGAGAUAGCUUGAAGGAAGAAUGAAUAGCAUUUCUGAUGGAGUGGAUGUGGGUGUGAGAGAAAGAAAAUAGGAGAACUCAGAGGUUUUUGGCCUGAACAAUUGGAAGAAUUGUGUAGCUAUUAACUGAGAUGGGAAAGCCGGGGGAGGAAGGGAUGGGAGAUAGAUGGAGAACUUGAUGAUAAUAAUAAUUUUGCCCUGCCUCCCUCACAGGACUAAAUGUGAUGAUUUAUGUGUAAUUUACCCCGCCAAUAUGCUCUGUGGUUACUGGUAUUCAAAGGGCCCUCUCCUUCCUAUGCAGAAGCAGUCUGUUCCCUGGACAUGCUCCUCUCUCUCAGUCCUCAGGUGGUGCCAGUUGGUGGGGGAGAAUGUUCCUGGCAUGUGGACUUGAAUCUGGCAGGUAUCAUCUGAGCUAUGUUUAGGUGGAUAUUUUGGGAUAGGUCCUCACAAAUGUGACUCAAGUAUGACUUAACAGUUAAUAUCUUUAUUUCUCCCUAACAGAAUAUUGUUUCUAAUUUUUCUUUUAUAUAGCAACUGAUGUUGCCAUGCAGAUCCCUUGGUUGCUAUGAGAUGGUAACAUCACUCUGCCCCACCAUUGGCCAGUGCCUCCUCAGCUGCGGUGCCUCCCAGGCUGUGUGGUUCUCACGCGGGCCACUGACACAGAGCUGUUACUAUGGUGAACUUUACAAUUUCCUUUGAUUGGUGGAUUUCAGAAAUAGGCCAUCAGCGGAAUUCAUUAUAUUCAGCUAAGUAAAAAUGAAAAAUAAAUACUAUAACUUUCCCCUCAUCACUAACAUGAAGGAAACGUGACCCUUCAUGACAUAAUAAAUCGCUGUUCGGUAACUUAGGAUCCUUCAGGGGACUGAAGCGGGAUGAUCCUCCUAUGCCAAAUUUGGGUGGGAAAGAUAUUCCCUGUAGCUUUGAGUCGACUCUUCAGAGUUAAGGGCAGUGGGCCAACCAGAGUUGGAACUUCAGAGUUGGGAGGAGGUGUGGGAUGGGGCAUGCAUUGAAAUGUAAACUCUAUUGUCUCUGAAGUGAUGGGUGAUGCUGGGGGCCUGAGUGUGGAGGGCAGUUUUACAUCUCAGGACAAUGUUUUCUCAGAUGCUCUUCCAGAAAGAAAAGCCAGGAGUACUCCUGGCUGGAGGCGGCAUGCCUGAGGUCAGAGUCAAAGUAGGGUUUGUGCUGUCUGAAUCCUUUCUCCCACUCUCCCCAGCCUGGCUCAGCUUCUCAGCUUCUCAGGUGGAUUGGCCUCUGAGCCCAAGCCAAGCCAUCGCAUCCCCUGUGACUUGCCCGUAUAUAUGCCCAGAUGGCCUGAAGUAACUGAAGAAUCAC